rnacentral:sRNA from 1 species
UACCAGAAUAUGAGGGUAACAGAAAACGG